GAUUGAGGGGGGCUGCUCCUAGUACGAGAGGACCGGAGUGGACGCAUCACUGGUGUUCGGGUUGUCAUGCCAAUGGCACUGCCCGGUAGCUAAAUGCGGAAGAGAUAAGUGCUGAAAGCAUCUAAGCACGAAACUUGCCCCGAGAUGAGUCUUCCCUGAGACUUUGAGUCUCCUGAAGGAACGUUAAAGACGAUGACGUUGAUAGGCCGGGUGUGUAAGCGCAGCGAUGCGUUGAGCUAACCGGUACUAAUGAACCGUGAGGCUUAACCUU
rnacentral:rRNA from 1 species